ACAGGGCUGCAGGCUGGCGGCGGCCUCUGGAGGGCGCAGGUACCUCGGGCAGCCGGGGGAUCUGGAUGAGCCGCUUGAAGUAGAGCAUGUCAGAGGCUCUGCGGAAGAAGUUUCUGAGGCUGCGGGGACGGGGACGGGGACGGGGACGGAGGCGGGAGGUCAGAGGAGCCAGGCCCCAGCCCGGUAGCCCCAGCACACGCCGCCACCCUCCACCCGGCCCAGCCUGGUACCUGUGAAACUGCUCAUGGAACCGGUCCCGGUGGCCUUGCAGGGUGUCUGCCGGGAGGCCUGGGGGCAGAGAGGUGUAAGGGGACUCCCUCCUCGCUCACUGCUGUGCCCGAGACUUCAGAUCUGCUCCCUCCCUUCCCCCUCCCUGCUCCUCCACGUUCUAGAAACCAUCACAGAUUAGACAGAUUACCUGCCACCUGGCUGCGUCCCACCCACCAUCAGGAGGGCCCAAAGAACCCCCUAUGAGGAGUUCAGCUCUCGACUGAGUGAGGGAAGGAACCGGCAUAGUGACGACCACAGUGAGGACAGCGGCUGAGCGCUGGCCCUGACCGUCAUCUCACGGCACUGUCGCAGCAACCUAGACAGCUGGGUUUGAAGACGGAGCAAUGGCCUGGGUAACUGGCUUUACCAGUCCCAGCCAGGCGGUGGGACCCUACCCCAGGCCCUCGGACACCAACAUGCUCCUCGAGGCGAGGAAGGACCCUGUGCACUGAAGCCGCCGAGGACCAAGGCCCAGCGCUCCCACAAACUGGGGUGACACAAGGAGGGGGGCAAAGGAAAUGCAGCUCAGCUCGGCCAGCGUCUCUGGACAGCUUCCAGGCAGUGGGCCCAGGACGCAGAGCUGGA